rnacentral:rRNA from 1 species
AGCAGCCGCGGUAAUUCCAGCUCCAAUAGCGUAUAUUAAAGUUGUUGCAGUUAAAAAGCUCGUAGUUGAAUUUCGGGGUCAGCAGGUUGGUCGUGCCAACGGUAUGUACUGGCUUUGCUGAUUCCUCCUUCUUGUGGAACUGUAAUGCCAUUAAUUUGGUGUUGCAGGGAAACAGGACUGUUACUUUGAAAAAAUUAGAGUGUUUAAAGCAGGCUUACGCUUGAAUACAUUAGCAUGGAAUAAUGAAAUAGGACGUUGAUCCUAUUUUGUUGGUUUCUAGGAUUGACGUAAUGAUUAAUAGGGAUAGUUGGGGGCAUUAGUAUUCAAUUGUCAGAGGUGAAAUUCUUGGAUUUAUUGAAGACUAACUACUGCGAAAGCAUUUGCCAAGGAUGUUUUCAUUAAUCAAGAACGAAAGUUAGGGGAUCGAAGACGAUCAGAUACCGUCGUAGUCUUAACCAUAAACUAUGCCGACUAGGGAUCGGAUGAUGUUAAUUUUUAAUGACUCAUUCGGCGCCUUAAC